GAUGAAGAACGUAGUGAAAUGCGAUAAGUAAUGUGAAUUGCAGAAUUCAGUGAAUCAUCGAAUCUUUGAACGCACAUUGCACUCCCUGGUAUUCCGGGGAGCAUGCCUGUUCGAGCGUCAUUACAACCCUCAAGCUCUGCUUGGUGUUGGGCCCCGCCGCCCCGGCGGGCCCUAAAGUCAGUGGCGGUGCCGUCCGGCUCCGAGCGUAGUAAUUUUUCUCGCUUUGGAGGCCCGGGCGCGUGCUCGCCAUCAACCCCCAAUUUUUUUCAGGUUGACCUCGGAUCAGGUAGGGAUACCCGCUGAACUUAAGCAUAUCAAUAAGCGGAGGA
rnacentral:misc_RNA from 1 species